rnacentral:tRNA from 1 species
AGUAAAUUGCCUGAUUAAAGGAGUACCUUGAUAGGGUAAAUCAUGAAAUAAAAUUUCAUUUACUA